UACGUAGGUCCCAAGCAUUAUCCGGAAUUAUUGGGCGUAAAGCGUCUGUAGGCUGGUGUUUAAGUUGAUAAUGAAAGACCGGGGCUUAACCUCGAGUUUGUUAUCAAAACUGGACAUCUAGGAUUAGGGAGAGGUAAGCAGAAUUCUAAGUGUAGGAGUGCAAUCCGUAGAUACUUAGAGGAAUACCAAAAGCGAAGGCAGCUUACUGGAACUAAAUCGACGCUGAGAGACGAAAGCGUGGGUAGCGAAAAGG
rnacentral:rRNA from 1 species